GUCCCCUCCCCGGGCCACCAGAGCUGCCUCACCGGGGUUUCCGGUGCCUUGCCGAUCUCGGCAGCCGGGAGCAUCCCGUCUCCGCUCGAGUCUUCAGCUCCAUGAGCAGCCAGCGUGGCUUGUAGUGUUCCGCUGCGGCCACCGGCUAGACACCAGCUCUGCUGGGAGACAGUGAGGCUGAACGCCACCUCUACUUCCCCUCGCCGUCUCUCUGGUUUCUUCCUCUCCUCCCAGAGAGGCCCUGCCCGCGCAGCCGCCAGCUAGCCGCGGUCGCUCCCUCUGCUGGCAGGGGGCCGGCACCGCCGUUCAGGAAGCGGGCGCCAGGCCUCCAGGCUCUCGGGAGAAAGGGGGUGGGCGGUCCUUCUCAACCUCGGCCACACCUCCACCUCGCUGGAGUCCAUCUUGGUGGAGCUUGAAGGCUGAUCAGACUCAACUAGAGAUGACCCCCCACGUUUUCCCCUGGAGGGUGCAGAUCUGGUUGUGAAUGACCGGGAGCUGAGUGGAGGAAGAGGACUCAGCAUCAAAUAAGCACUUUAUCCCGUGCAGAGACCCAAAAAACGUGGCCUUUGACAAGAAGGAAGAACAUGAAUGACCUGGAAGCAAGAGGACUCAGGAUUUGACCUCAAGAACAAACAUAGGAGACGGAAAAACAAAAAGCUGAGCAGGAGAAGAAAAGUGAUCAUAGUAUCUACUACUUCGCCCAAGAUAAGCACAAACUUGCUAUGAUCAGUUUUUCUGAAGCCUAUCCUAUUGAGAAGCCGUCCAGCAGGAGAGGUAAACGGAAGAAGUGGGAAAAUGCUUCUCUCCGAUACUCUGCACUCAAAGGAAUAAUAUAGAGAACAAUAUAUUCUCCAAAGUUACUCUUUUCAUUAAGCUAGCUGCGUGUGGAGGGCAACACAAAAUGACCAUGACCAUGUGGAAGAAGCCUUUAUUAAAAUACGUCAAGCAUU